GGGCCGUUAGCUCAGUUGGUAGAGCAGAAGACUUUUAAUCUUUUGGUCGUAGGUUCGAGUCCUACACGGCCCACCA
rnacentral:tRNA from 1 species